GACGAACGCUGGCGGCGUGCUUAACACAUGCAAGUCGAACGGAAAGGCCCUGCUUUUGUGGGGUGCCCGAGUGGCGAACGGGUGAGUAACACGUGAGUAACCUGCUCUUGACUUUGGGAUAACUUCAGGAAACUGGGGCUAAUAUCGGAUAGGAGCUCCUGCUGCAUGGUGGGGGUUGGAAAGUUUCGGCGGUUGGGGAUGGACUCGCGGCUUAUCAGCUUGUUGGUGGGGUAGUGGCUUACCAAGGCUUUGACGGGUAGCCGGCCUGAGAGGGUGACCGGCGACAUUGGGACUGAGAUACGCACCAGACGCGUACGGGGGGCAGCAGUGGGAAGUAUGACACAAUGGGCGGAAGCCUGAGGCAGCGACGCUGCGUGCGGGAUGACGGCCUUCGGGUUGUAAACCGCUUUCGCCUGUGACGAAGCGUGAGUGACGGUAAUGGAUAAAGAAGCACCGGCUAACUACGUG
rnacentral:rRNA from 1 species